rnacentral:lncRNA from 1 species
AACGAAGUGAAAGUGUUUGUGCUGAGAGACACUGAAGGCUGAAGCUGCAUGUCUCUGUGUGAUGAGACACUUUAAACUGCUGCAGGUCUGGGUGCAGCGAGGUCACGCUCAGGAAACCAGUUUGAGAUGAUGGGACCUUUGAGGCAGGUGUCCUCACAGGGGACAAGUGACCUCAGUGUCAUUCGUUUUUUCUGUCAUCUUAUGUUAAAGGAAGGAAAUGUUACAGUGUGAACCUCUGUGAAGUUAUUUAUGUCCAUGUGUGUCAGGCAGAGCCUAAAGUUGAUCCUGUGGGCAGAGAUCCAUCAGGCAGAGGUGGAUCUCAUCAGGGUGAUGUCACGUACUCGCUUCAUCCUCCAGCUCUGGGAAACAAACCUGGUAAAGCCUCAGAGAUAUUUGAGGAUAUAAUGAAAUAUUCACGUGUGUCUCCUGCAGCGCCGCGAGCCAACACGUGUGUUUACUCUGUGAUCAAACUGCACCGACAGGAACCCUGAAGGAAAUCCUGAGGAUCAAACCUUCCACGCCUCCUGCUGCGAGCUUCUGCUCACGUUUCACUUUAACUUUCAAAAUUAUUUUGAUUCUUGGAAAUCAGUCAAAUCAAAUUAAUAUUCAUUGUGCUGGUUAAUAAAACAUAACAAUGAUGUCAUCGUGUUUACCUUUUGUUUGACUUUCACACAAACAUUCAGAGGAACAAAGAAAUAUCCAAUUAAAAUCUCAGCUAGUCCUUCAAAUCUUCUUCAUCUGAGAGCUUCCAGCUCCUCAUCAGAUCCAUGUGACACAGCAGACCUGCAGCGGGAGCACGCCUCUUUAUUUUCCAGGCCGCUGACACUCCCUGAGUCACUGAGGAUGAGGAAGGAGAGGAAGAGCGGUGCAGGGACAGACGGGCUCGAGGCACAUCGACAGCUCUGCAGCUCCACGUUUGUUCCUGAACAUGUUCACUCUGCUGGUCUCCUGUCACGUUUGGUUCCUGCUCUCAGGUCUGAUCGGCUGCACGGAAAACUCCACAGCGAUCUGGUUUUCAGUCCCUGAGAAUCACCACGUCUGUCUGCCCUGCGGCAGCUCUGGCAGCUCCGACGUGAUCUGGACUCUGCAGGAUCAGGAGGUCCUGGUGACCCGACGAGGCAGCUACAAGACCAACAAGGACCGCCAGCGCUACCUCCUCAUGGUUAAUGGCAGCCUCUGCAUCCUGCAUCUGGAGGAGUCGGAUCAUGGAGGAUACCGCUGUAACCAGCAGCUGGUGGCUGAGCUGCAGGUGCUGACAGGUCGGAACUACACGGUGUCCGCAGGCCGGACGCUGCUGCUCCCCUGCAGCGGCUCCUCCAAACCCAAACAGAGGUGGUUCCAGCAGAGGGAGGGCGAGAGGCGGGAGGCCGUCCUCACCAAGUACAGAAACGGUACGGUGAAACCAGAGAGGGGCGGCGGCCGGCUGAGCUUCACCAACGACGCCCUGCAGAUCCAGGACCUGCAGCCAGAGGACGCUGGAGAGUACGUCUGCAACGGGGUGCUGCAGGCCAGAGUCACGGUCCUCACAGCACACGCAGAGACGAGCAGCCAGCCUCCGUCCACCAGCACAACUCCAUCACCUGCAGUCGUGACAGCAGAAGUGGAAGAAAUAAAGAAGAAGAGCAACACGAGACCUGAGAACGUUCUGCUGCUGGUUGCUGUCGUCAGUGUGGGCUUGAUGAUCAUCUUCUUAGCUGCUGUCUGUGUGUUGCUGACCAGCAUGAAGUGCAGGAGGAAGAAACGCAGAGCUGCAGCACCGACACGUGACGACACGGAGCUGCAGCCGUGGACGACGUCCAGCGCACCGACAGAGGGUGAGGACUUAGAGACCCCGCCCCUCUGUGGGGAGACGAUCCACUACGCCUCUCUGGGCCGACAGAACUGGAGGGAGAGACCCAGCAGGAGUCCGCCGGAGCAGAGCCACCACAGCGUCAUCUACUCCUCCGUCAUCAGCAGACCUGCAGCGAGAGCUGAGCACAAACUCUGA